AUGAUGGGUAGGGGAGCUUCCCAUACGGGUUGAAGCAUGACCGUAAGGACAUGUGGACAGUAUGGGAGUGAGAAUGUUGGCAUGAGUAGCGAGAUGUUGGUGAGAAUCCCACAGGCCGUAAACCCAAGGUUUCCAGGGGAAGGUUCGUCCGCCCUGGGUUAGUCGGGACCUAAGCUGAGGCCGAAAGGCGUAGGUGAUGGACAACAGGUUGAUAUUCCUGUACUA
rnacentral:rRNA from 1 species